rnacentral:rRNA from 1 species
UACAUGGGGUGCAAACGUUGCUCGGAAUUAUUGGGCGUAAAGCGCGCGUAGGCGGUUACUCAAGUCGGAUGUGAAAGCCCUCGGCUUAACUGAGGAAGUGCACCCGAAACUGAGUAGCUAGAGUACUAAAGAGGGUCGCGGAAUUCCCGGUGUAGAGGUGAAAUUCGUAGAUAUCGGGAGGAACACCGGUGGCGAAGGCGGCGACCUGGGUAGAUACUGACGCUGAGACGCGAAAGCGUGGGGAGCGAACAGG